rnacentral:ncRNA from 1 species
UCGGGUCUGUGGUUGAAAGUCGAUGCCAGUCGCAGGCAAAACGAUCCACGUAAUCUGCUCAAAGAGCAGGGAGCAUGGUGCGGCCUAGAUGUAAGUCCGUCCGGUGUAAAGCCGAGAGAAUGUGUAGUCAGGCACGAAUGUGUAUUAGCGAUAAUUCCAGACGGCGAGUGUGGGGGAAAAGACCAGGUCAGUCGGU